GCCAGACUCCUACGGGAGGCAGCAGUGGGGAAUAUUGCACAAUGGGGGAAACCCUGAUGCAGCGACGCCGCGUGAGUGAAGAAGUAUUUCGGUAUGUAAAGCUCUAUCAGCAGGGAAGAAAAUGACGGUACCUGACUAAGAAGCCCCGGCUAACUACGUGCCAGCAGCCGCGGUAAUACGUAGGGGGCAAGCGUUAUCCGGAUUUACUGGGUGUAAAGGGAGCGUAGACGGCAGCGCAAGUCUGAAGUGAAAUCCCAUGGCUUAACCAUGGAACUGCUUUGGAAACUGUGCAGCUGGAGUGCAGGAGAGGUAAGCGGAAUUCCUAGUGUAGCGGUGAAAUACGUAGAUAUUAGGAGGAACACCAGUGGCGAAGGCGGCUUACUGGACUGUAACUGACGUUGAGGCUCGAAAGCGUGGGGAGCAAACAGGAUUAGAUACCCUGGUA
rnacentral:rRNA from 1 species